ACACUGUAUGAAUACAUUUCUGU
rnacentral:piRNA from 1 species